CAGAAUACCAUCCUGUUCCAUCUCAAACUGCCUCAUUACAUCUAUUUGUUUCCAGUUGGUGGAAAAGGCUCACCUUCUCAUUGGGCCCCAUUUUCAGGGGUGGGUUGUAGGAACUAGAGUACUGACUAGCCUUGCUUUGCAUUACUCCAUUCAAUGGGUUUGCUGCUGGGUGUGUGGAAGAUCAGCUUCCCACUGGGUCCUGCUUACACCAGGAUGUGAAAUGCUGACUAGCCCAAGGUAAUUGUCACUACUUGAUUCAUUAUCCUUGAUGCUGGGUGAGGGUGGAGACUAAUCUUCCCACUGGAUCCUGCUGACACUGUCCUGAUUGAGUAGUAAUACCACUGUAUGAUUCCAGCAGUUGUGGGGAGAUUAGCUCCCUGCUCAGCCUCUCUGAUACAACUGGGCAGCUAGUUUUUGCUUCUGCAACAAGACAUAGGUUUAUGAUGAGCUUCCUGUUCAUCUCUGCUGAAACUAGGGAAAGUGGUUCUAGGUUGGAGGCGUUAGCAGCAUUUUGGCUGGGGUAUAUGGGAGGCAAUAUGGAAACCAUCAAACUUGUUCUCACGUCAUUCUGCAAGUCCUGGUGUCCUGAGGUGUGCUGAAGCCCUAUCCCCAAGAUGACUAUAUUUGGAGACAGGAUUUUUGGAGGAAUAUUUCAUCUUUUGGUUUAGAAAUUCAAAGCAUUCAAGUUUAUUAAGCACUUGACUAGGAAGAAAGGACCAAAGAGAGACAAUGUUUUCUCUUAUACACAUUGUUUGCACAUUGCUCGUUAACACCUCCAGGACAGAGCAUCACCAUGAAAUUCUCUAUUGAGCAGUAAAGAGAGACAGAGAGAGAGAGAGAGAGAAGAAAAAAGAAACAACAGCCUGGAAGUAGCUUUUGUCUUUCAUCACUAUUCACUACUGAGAUGGUAACUAUAGUAAGUGGUAGGUGGUGGCACUAGAGCACUCUAAUUUGUGUAUGGGAUUUGGGACGGAGGAGGAGAAAAUAUUAUAUGAUAGGGAUAAAAUUGGCCCUAAAGUCUUUCUUCAUCCUGUAAUGCAUUGAAGAUAAUAGUACUGUCAUAACAAGUUGGUCUUAGAUGCUUUGAACAAAAUACAUAACAUGGAAGAAGUAAGUGAACUAGCACUACCUUUAGGGGAAAUUCUGCAAUUGCCUAAGUAUAAAACCAUUUCUAAACACUUCUCUGACAUUUCUUCUAGUACCAAGACUUUAGCUUAUAAAAAUAACUAAAAACGUUUGAAAUCACACAAUCAUGUAAUUGAUGGAAUUAAUUGUUGAUAAACAUGAAUUAUUUCUCAAAAUGAUGAAUCUGGUCAUUAACCAAUCUUGUAUGUUAUAUUCUGAAGUUCACUCUUCAGUUUUCUAUAUAUAGGAUAGUUGUGAAAAUUGAGUGGGAGCCUUGGCCACAGAAAUGCAAACUGUGAAUUGGGUCAAACACUUCAGUGAAUGUAACAAUAUAGACACAAUUAGUAACAAAAUUUAUUUGAAGUGAAUAUGGGGAAGCCUCUGAAAGAAAAAAAUGGUGAUAGUUUUUAAUAAAUUAGUCAAAUACUUUAAAAUAGGCAUAGUUGAAUUGAACAACAUGUUUUUUUUUGUUUUGUUUUGUUUUGAGUUUUAAUAGCUAUAAAAGGAGAGAGAGAUUGUCAUGCUGCCAUGAAAUGGAUAUAAACAAUUUUCAGCUGAGACUCUGACCAAAAAGUAAGUUUUCCAUCAACAAGAAUUUAAAACAGUCUUUGAUUUAUGGCAUCCAGCAGAGAAUGCAAUCACAGAUAGCACAGCCAGGAAAAGAACAUUCAUUAUUUUAGAGAGACAAAGAAUUGUGGAAUUAUGCAGCCAUUUUCUCUAAUAAACAUUUUUAUCACUUAUGGGAGGAAGCUGCUCUCCUUAGUAAUAGCAAUGAUGAGUACUUAAAUUAAGGAGAGCUUUAAAUUGGUUAAAACAAACACCUACCCUAAGAAUAAAGAGUAAAUAAUAAAAGACUGAAGAUAAAGACCACAGUCCAUGGUAAUCAGAAAUGAUCAAUGAGCCACUUGGGACCUCCCAAAAGAGAUCAGCAAAUCUGAAAUCCAAGUGGUGUUAGAAUAAAGACCUUUUGAUUGAUCAUAUUUGAUUAAAGCUUCCACCAGUUUCUUAGAGAAACAUAAAAAAUAUAAAUCAGGAAAACAGAAAAGCUAUCAAAUAAUUAUCUUACAAAAAAUGAGAAAACAAGAAAUAUCAACAAUAACAAAAAACCUCAGCACACCGAAAUAGUUUCACAGAAAAAUCCUACCAAAGCUUCAAAGAUUAAGUAGAUCCAAUGUUACAUUCUAAAUUACAGAAAAUGAAGAAAAGCUUUUAAGUAAAUUCUAUGAAAACAGUAUAAAGUUGAUCAUUAAAUAAGAUAAGGAAGGCACCAAAAAAUCCACCCAAUGCAUAGAUUAAUCUGACUGUAAAUUAAAAAAAAAUUCAGAAAAAUUCAAAAGAAAAUAACAGCAAUCAGAAUUCACUGUCCACAUUAAGGAAAAAAUGCAUCUUGCUUAAAUGGAAUGGAUGAGAACAAAAUCCCCUGCCAAUUGUUCAUAAAAAUGAUUGCUGAAAUAGGAAUUAUUAGAUACUUUCAUAUGUGCACAUACACAUAUAUAGUUAUUGAAUGGCUAGAAAAUGGUUUCAGUUUAUAAUAAAGAGACAUGACAACUAAAUAACAAGAUAGGAUACUGAAGUUUUCAGUAAAACUUCAACGACUGUAACUGAGACAAUUGGAAAAACUUUGAAUAAGGCCUUCAUAAUAGAUGGUAAUUUUCUAUCAAUAUUAUGUUUGUUGGGUGUGAAAGUUAUGUUGGUCUCAGGCUUAUGUAGAAAAAUAGCAUUGUUCUAAGGAGUAUAUACUGAAAUAUUUAGGAAUAAGUUGUCAUAAUGAUCCAGAAAAAGAAAAAGUCUCUCUCUCUUUAUCUACCAAUCAUUGAUUGACCUAGGUGAUGAUAUAUGAGCAUUAAUUGUACUAUUCUUCUAGUUUUUUCUGUAUGAGUUACAUGUUUCCAAAAAAGAGUCUUGGAAAAUUGAUAUAUUAAUAUUUAUUUGAAUUUUUGUGCAUUUCUCUUUGAGAUGGGGGGUCUCUCUAUGUUGUGUAGGCUGGUCUCGAACUCAUGGCCUCAAGUGAUUCUCCUGCCUUAGCAUCCUGAAUAAGCUGGGACUGCAGGCAUGCAUCACUACAAUUGGAUUUGUACAUUUUAAAGCCAUAAAAGGCAAUAUUCUAAGAAAAUUUUAGAAAUAACUCUGAUAGAUAAGCAGCCAUAAUAACUUUUCCGGGUUGCAGCAUGUCUACUCAUGCAAACGCUCAUCUGUUUCUUAACUCACAGUCUCCAAGACAGCUCUAAGAAAUGCUGCAUCUUUGGACACUACUUAAAAAUAACAUUUCCAUUCUGUUACACAGUUAAAUAUGGUAGUGAAACAUGAGGUCUUUGUAGAUAUAUUCUCUAGAAAAUAUUUUUCAAGUGUUAGCAUUUGACACUUAAGGGAAUGUACUACAAGUUUGGGAAAAUAGUCACUUAUAAAUACCACUAUUUAUUUGGCAUCUAAUGUGUGACUAGUACCAUCCUCAUUAAUGUGUGACUAGCACCAUCCUCAUUAUUUUGCAUGAAUAGCCCAUAAAUCCAACAAUAACCAUAUAUAUUUUAAUUAAAUUUUAAAAUAAAUUUGGUAGUAAAUAACAGAGCCGGGAUUCAACCAAUAUCUGUUUCUUUCAAAAUGUUGUUCUUAUCAAUGCAUACAUACAUAUGAAGAAAUUUGAAAUUUUCCAACAUAUCGCGAUGUAGGGUUAUAGAAUAUAACUUAUAAUCUAACAAAUAUACUAUACUAAUAGGGGAUAUAAUUAAGUUAGGUUAUUUCCACUCUAUCUAACAAAUUUUAAUAUUCCUUAGGAAAGAACCUGUCUUCUGAGGUUAUGCCUGUUGGCAAAAAAUCAUGACAGAAAUGUUUGAAUGAGAGGUUCAAGUAGUUUUAUAAAUGGUCUUCAGCACAGUUAAUUUCCCCAAACUAAGAUAUCAAAACUGAAUAGAUUCCAUUUUUUUUAUUUUUCAAUUUUCUCUCUCUCUCUCUCUGGGUUUUUUUUUUCUUUUUUCCUUGAGACAGAGUCGCACUGUAUCACCCAGGCUGGAGUGCAGUGAUGUGAUCUCACUGACUGCAACCUCUGCCUCCAGGGUUCAAAAGAUUCUCUUGCCUCAGCCUCCGUAGUAGCUGGGAUUAUAGGCACCUGCCACCUGGCCUGGCUAAUUUAUAUUUUUAGUAGAGAUGGGGUUUCACCAUGUUGGCCAGGCUGGUCUCAAACUUUUGACCUCAAGUGAUCCUCCUGCCUCAGCCUCCCAAAGUGCUUGGAUUACAGGCAUGAGCCACUGCGCCUGGCUUUUUCUUUUCAAUUCUCAUACUUUACUGUUAUCUUCCAGAUUAUCACCACCCUCUAAAUAUUCCAAAUUAAGAUAGACAGGACAGAAAGUUUUACUGAUUUUUGUUCAUAAAUAAAAUUCACUAGACACCACAGUGAAUUACAUUGACAACACAAAAAUAUUCACAACUUCUACCCUUAUUCUAUUUAAUAUUUAUUUAAUCUACCACUUCAAUAAGUAGGAAUUGCAAAGAGUGAAAUAACUCUUGUAUCCUUUGCUCCCCCUCCCUCUCACACACACAACCUGGAUUUCUAGCAAAUAUAAGCUUCAGUAAAUAAAUUUGGUAGUACACGACAGAGCCAGUAUUAAUAUUUAGAUUGCAUUUAGUAUUUCAGAUUGUUGUUAAUUGUAUCUUUACUGCUGUUUAAAUAUUUAGUAUUAGUAUUUUAGUAUUGCCCCUUAGUAUUUUAGAUUGUUGUUAAUUGUAUCUUUACUGCUGUUUAAUUUGCUGAGAAGAAUGAGCUUUUAAAAUAUAUAAAUUAGGCUGGUCAGGUUUGUUUUACACGUAUUUUAUCCAGAGCUAAAGAUCAUUUUGUUUUCCGCCCUUGCCAACUAAAAGUAGAAAAGUGGUUUCUAAACAACAAAAAAAUGGGGGUAAUAUAACAUUCCAAAGAAAGUAUCCUUAAAGAGCCUGUGGAGCAUCUGAAAAAUAUCGAUCCUAGAAAGCAAAUGAAACAGCACAUUGAUCUUGGAAGAAAAAAAAGGUGGUGAGAACCAUGAAAACAGCCAGAGAAAAGUCUUAGCAAUAAAGAAGAGCACACCUUACUGACAGACUUGAAGGAAGACUGAAAAUGUGAAGGUACAGGAAAAUUUUAAGGUGAAAUAGAAAGAUCAUCUUAAAAGUAUAAGUCAAGGUCAUUAGUGAAUAAUAAUGCAUGUGGGUUUUAAGAAAAACACUUCAGUGGGGGAAAGUGAUAAACAACAAAUUUUAGUUCCAGCUAAGCCUCCAAAUAGAGUGAAUUUCAGAAAUCACUAAAUCCCAGGCACUCAUCUUUUAUACGUGUAAAAAAGAGCAGUGAUAGCAACGUUCCAGUCACAGGAUUGCUAAAAUGACCCAUUGGGGAAUUUGUGAAGCAUGUCUUUGAAUUCUUUUCCCAAAGGGAUUCUGUCUUAGGCAAUAUUAGGUUUGGCAUCCAUUAAACCAAACAAUUGCUAAGGUACAAAUAGCCAGCAUACUUCCUAAAAUAUGCUGUGUAAGAAAAUUAGAGAAUCAUGGAAAAUCCCAAAACUGCACUGAGAACAACAGAAUAUGGUAAAUUCUCUUAAUAGAAAAUAAAGAAAACUGAAUUGAAAUUCUCCUCUAUAUUUUGCAUUUUAUUCUGUAUUUUAUGGACUACUCCCUGACCACACACACACACCUCUUAUUUAAUUCAUUAGUCCAUAACAUAGUCCCAAAUCUUUCAUGUCAUCCCACCUUCACCCUUACCACCAAACAAUAACCUAGAUUCAGUGAGAAAGUUCUCCUAAUUUUACCCAUUUAUCUCUGAGAUUUUCCAGGUCCCAAUCCACAAAGCUAAUGUCUAGAUCAAGCACUCACAAUUUCUUGUCUGGACUAGUGUAAUUAUUCCCUACUUUUUUCCUCCAGCUAAAUUCUAUAUCUCUAAUCCAUUUUCUGUAUUACCAGAACAGUGUUCUUUGCAAACAUCACAAACACUUGUUUAAAAACUUUCAGUAGCUCUCAACUUUCUACAGGGUUGUCUCCAGAGAAAAGUAUUUAUACUGUAGGAGUGACUGAAUGAUGUGUCAAAAAAUCAAUUUACUUAAAAACAACAUUUUUUAUGAAAUAAAAGAAAAUGGAAUAGACCAAAUGGAAUAGAAUAGAAAAGACCUGGGUACCCAUUACCCAGUAAGAUGUAAUAUUUUUGUGAGAUUUUAAUUUUUAUGUGUUUAAAUUUGAGUAAUAUAAAAUAUUUUACUAUGACUUGUGUUUAAGAAAAAGCUUCAAGAACACUUCUGUAGAUUAUAUAGAUCCCCUCAUAAUCUUGCUUUUCCUGUAUCUAUAGCUUAACACCUCAAAGUUUCAGCCAUACUUUAGUUGAAUAAAUAAUCUGCACUCUUUCACAUCUUGGGACAAUCUAUAUAAUUGUCCCCUGCUGAAAUGUUUCCCCUUUCACCUCCCUGUCAACUUGGGAAAUGCCUACUCAGUUUUCAAUAUGCAACUCAAAUAUCAUCUGCUUUGUGAACCUUUCAGGAACCCUCCUCCUCAUGGUCCCCAGUGCCCUAUCUCCAGCUGGCUGUUUUGAAUUGGUCUAAAAUAUUAAGAGUUUGGUGAUGCAAAACUAUUAGGUUCUUUUCGUUUGAUCUCUAACAGCAUGAGGUAGAAAACAGAUAGAUGCAUAUUUUUUAAUAACCUGAAACUAGACUACAAGCAAUCUCUCCAAAAACCCUCUCCUUCUGUUUUUUGGGGAGUACGCUGAAAAAAAAUUUUAGAAGGUUACUUAAGACAAAUAUUGCAAUAUUCAUGUUGCAUAUAUGGGGCAUCAGGACUCCUCUGAACUGGUUUGUUUGGAAUCAAGCCUGGAGAGCAAUGCUUCGGUGUAUAGAACAUGUACAAGACUGGCUAGAGUCUUAAGUCUAUUAAUACAUGUUAGAAUGGUGUCUCUAAAUAUCUUUUUUUCCAGACAAUAUAUUUCCAGUAUUAUUAAUUUCACUAGUGAACACCCCUUUCUAACAAUCAUUCACAAAUAAGCCAUUGUUUUACAAAUGAAAACCAAUUAUAGUCAUGCAAAAUAGCAAAACCUCUGUUGUUAAUCAUGUUAAGGAUAGCUGAGGCUUGUAUUUCAGAUGAAAAUGUAGCUGCCUGCCCUGGACUAUGAAUUCUGGAUUAGGACAAUUCCUUAAAUGGUAAUUUAAACAAUUUUUAUCUGAUAUCACACUGUCAAUAGCAGACAUAUUUUGAAGUAAAUCACACACAUUGUUAAACUAAAAAUUAUAAUUAACACAUCUUGGCUGUUGGAAGUUAAAUUUAGUAUGUUUUUAUAAUGAAUUUACUUCACAGAUACACAGGUAAUGAUGAGUAUAAAAAAUCCACAGUCCAACAUUUUUGUAUAUUUAGGGGGAAGUCUGUUAAUGAGAAUAUGGUUACAAGUGAAAAGAACAUGGCUUAAAAUUCAUACACACAAAAAAGUUUAUCCUUAAUUUCCAAAGAAUAAUGUAUAUUUUACUAUUCCACUUACUGUAAUUGGAGCAGAAUGUGUAAAUAGAAUGCUUCUUUCUCCACUUCUGAAAAUAUUUUCCACCCUAUAAGUUUAAGAACACCAAAAUGUCUAUGAACUUCUCACUUCCAUGUGCAGAAUUAGAAAGGUUACAAGAAAUUUAUUCCUAUUUCUUGGUAGAUCCAUAAGUCAGAUGACAGUUGUAAAAAGAGGUCAAAGACAGUAAAAUUAAGUGACUGAUGAACACAUUUCUUUAGAGAAAGUUGUUACCCUAAACACAGUUCUCACUCCUUCUUUUAGGAAAGGAAAGGAGGUGGUAGUCCACGGAAAAUUCUGUUUAGGUGCCUAACUCAUAAUUGAGGUCAAUAGACAGUGAACUACUGAAUACUUCUAGAGGUAAAGGAAAAGUGAGUUGUUUCAGUGGUAGAGCCAGAGAGUGAAGGCUGCUGCACUGUGUUGAAGUGUGAUUAAAAACAAAAUCUCAGCCAGGCGUGGUAGCUCACACCUGUAAUUCCAGCACCUUGGGAGGCUGAGGCAGGAGGAUCAUUAGAGGUCAGAAGUUAAAGACCAGCCUGGCCAACAUGGUGAAACCUUGUCUCUACUAAAAACACAAAAGUUAGCUGGGAAUGGUGACACGCACCUGUAAUCCCAGCUACUCAGGAGGCUGAGGCAGGAGAAAUGCUCAAACCCUGGAAGCAGAGGUUGCAGUGAGCCAAGAUCUCGCCACUGCACUCCAGCCUGGGUGACAGAGCAAGACUCCAUCUCAAUAAAUAAAUAAAUAAAUUAAAUAAAUAAUAAAAAUCUCAACCCAGAAACCCUCUCUAAAACAAUAAAAGAUAAAUAAAAUAGUUUUAUUGUAAAAUAUACAUUAAACCAGAAUACAAAGCAUAUCACAGGUAAUCCACUAAAAACAGUAAAUCUCGAAGGAGGUUGCAGAGACAGAAAAAAUCUUACCUUUUUACAUAGGCAAGCAGAAAGAAUUCAUUACAUAUGUGUUUGAAAGACAAACAAUAACCAGUCUUCAAGUAAUAGGACUUGACUGCAUAGCAAACUCACUUGGUAAUUAGGCUGACCGUCUGUGGUAGCUAAUAGGCUUUAUAAAAACAAAAACAAAAACAAAAAAAAACUUCUCGUAUGUGUGACAGAAGACAGUUUUGCAAUGUUGUGCUACAUGGUCUACCAAGUUAGUAGGCUCCUAUCCCGCCACUGGGAUAGGGCUCUAUUUUCCUUGAUUCCAUUUUAAACAGGUGCCUCCCAGGUCCUAAAGAAUGAUAUUCCUAGGUUAUAAAGCUGGAAUUAGGUUAAUUUAACUUUUAAAAAGAUUUAUAUAUCUAUCUCAAGGGGGCAGGGAAAGAAUAUGCAAGUACAUAUUUUUAAAAGAAAGUGCUCUGAAACAAAAAAAGUAGAGGAAUAUGUCUUUCUACGUGAGGGGGAGUUAUUAUUUUUUUCUUCUUAGUUUACACCUUCUCCUUGCCAUUCAAAUUAUCCUGCUUGCCUAAAGUCUGUCAGAACAAGGAAUGGGUGAAUAUUUCCUGUUGACCAGAUGUGACUGAGAGAGAGAAAUCCAUGUAGGGUAUGUUUUAUCCUUUAGGGUCAUGUUGGAGAGGAUGAGGGAAGACCUCAGAAGAAAGGCUUGAAAGUAUCUUGAUGCCCAAUGGCUACAGAAGGAGCUCUGAGAGGCACCCAAAUCAGAGGUGCUUUCUUCCCACCUGAAGAAAGUUCUUCAGAGAAGGCCCACAGUAACAUUUUACUGAUAGAGAAAGUUAGCUUCUCCCACCUAGUGUGGCCAUCCGGGAAAGCUACUUUAAAUAUAUUCAAGCACCAAGAGUGUGAAACCAGCCAGCCGCAUAGGACCUGACUUAUCCUCUUAUUUUGCCUUCCUCUUGAGGUUUUAACAUGGCUAGGAACACAUCAACUGCUGAUCAACGGAGAUGAGGCCUAAGGAAAAGAGUAGAGAACGUGCCCUUCCUGACAGCCAACCCCAGGCUGAGCAAGGCCCAAAAAGAUGGGGGUAGUCAUUGCUGCUCAUAUUGAUGGGAAAUUCCUGCUAGCACAGAUACUCUUCACAUUUAUGUUUAUUUUGAUUUUCUUAUUAUAAAUUUAACCCAUAUUCAUUAAAUAAAAUAUAAAAAGAAGAGAGAGAAAAAAAUGACAAUAGAAAUUACUGUGUAUUCUCAUAAUAAAUUAUUUAUCCUUUAAAAUUAAAUGUUGAUUCCACUAUCCCUAUAAUUAUAUAUUAUCCUAUUCUUUAUUAAAAAUACAGAAUAAUAGUUACAAGUAUAUACUUAGGGUCUUCCAAACUGAGCUUAGCUAUUUAAUAGGUGUAUGACAUUGAGUAACAUACUGAUUUUCUCUUUUCCUCAAUUUUCUAACAUAUAAAAGGAAGCUAGUAAAACCUACAUAAUAAGGUUGUUGUGAAGAUUAGUAUGAGAUUAAAAGUGAAUAAUUUAUCACAGAGCCUGAUAUAUAAUAUUUGGUCUGAAUUGAAAGCUGUUGUUAUUCCCAGAUUGCAAGAAUUUUUCCACAUACUUGAAUACUUGAAUAUACACUAUUCCACAUAGUUGAAUAUGGACUAUUAAAAAAUGUGCUAACCACUCCACCACAUCCUCAAUUAUAGAUUUAGUAUAAAUUAGAAAUUUUCUUUUUGUAAAAAUUCUACUGUAAUUUGUGUGCUUCUUAACAUUAUAUAUACAUUUUCUGCUCAUCUCUUAUUCUCUUGGAUUAUUUACUGUAACUAUG
rnacentral:lncRNA from 10 species